AUUGAACGCUGGCGGCAGGCUAACACAUGCAAGUCGAGCGGAGAUGAGGUGCUUGCACCUUAUCUUAGCGGCGGACGGGUGAGUAAUGCUUAGGAAUCUGCCUAUUAGUGGGGGACAACAUUCCGAAAGGAAUGCUAAUACCGCAUACGCCCUACGGGGGAAAGCAGGGGAUCUUCGGACCUUGCGCUAAUAGAUGAGCCUAAGUCGGAUUAGCUAGUUGGUGGGGUAAAGGCCUACCAAGGCGACGAUCUGUAGCGGGUCUGAGAGGAUGAUCCGCCACACUGGGACUGAGACACGGCCCAGACUCCUACGGGAGGCAGCAGUGGGGAAUAUUGGACAAUGGGGGGAACCCUGAUCCAGCCAUGCCGCGUGUGUGAAGAAGGCCUUAUGGUUGUAAAGCACUUUAAGCGAGGAGGAGGCUACUGAGACUAAUACUCUUGGAUAGUGGACGUUACUCGCAGAAUAAGCACCGGCUAACUCUGUGCCAGCCGCCGCCGUAAUAC
rnacentral:rRNA from 1 species